UACCAAGUUGUUUUCGAUGAUGCGGCUUCCAAAUCGACGAGCGGCUCCGUUAGACUUGAUCUACACUAUUGAAAGUAUUUGGAAACUAAAUUUCAGAUUUUUUCGACAUCAUUUGACUAGUGAUCAAAAGAUCUCAAAAUUGACAAUUUUAAUGGCCGAUGUGGUUUGUUUGAGAGUUUAACGGUGUAAAACAAUCCAAAUCCCAUGAAAAUUUUAUAGAAAAUUCUUUUAACUAUUUAGAGUAAGAUCAGUAUUUCUGAUCUUGAAUUUAAAUCUUUUAUCAUCAUUUUUUAUGAGAUUUUUAUUUUCAGCCGUUCAAUUUUAGACUAAUUGUUUGAUAGGUAAAUGGAAUCGAAAAAUUAUGAAAUUUAGUUUCUAAAUACUUUUAAUAGUGUACAUCAAGUCUAACGGAGCCGAUCGUUGAUUUGGAGCCGCAUCAUCGAAAACAACUUGGUCGCACGGAGCGCUCCGUGCUACUGAUAGUAUAGUAGCCUAGCUCUAUAUAUAUAUAUAGAGAGAGAGAGAGAGAAAGAGAGAGAGAGAGAGGAGGAGAGAGAGAGAGAGAAUUAGGCAAGAAUAUUUCUAAUUGCACCAAGUCAUUGGUACUAUUAGGUUUUCCGCCCUUGAAUAAAGGGAUGUGCAGUUAGAAUGAUAAUGGUUCUAAUAGUUUCAAGUCAUUGGUGCUAUCAGGUUUCGGCUCUUAAAUAAAGGGAUGUGCGAUUAGGAUGAUAGUGGUCUUCUAGGGUUGAGCAGGUGGUUGGUUGAAUAGUAUGGUCUAACGGGUGAAAAUAGUCAACGAGGUGAAAAACUUGGUAGCACCAAGUGCUUGUGUUGUUGAUAGCAUAGUAAACGGACUAUAUAUAUAUAAAGAGAGAGAGAGAGAGAGAGAGAGAGAGAGAGAGAGAGAGAAUCUGGCUGGGUUUCACCUAUUAGAUCUAUCCUGUUGACCAUUUUCACCCGUUAGAUCAUACUAU
rnacentral:lncRNA from 1 species